AUGAGCACGGGUCACGGGAGAGAAGGGUCGUGCUACUUCUACAGCAAACCGGCCCCUGUCAAGGAGGGGAAGCGGACCCGCAUGGUCGGCGGCGGCACCUGGCACCCGGAGGCUGGCGCCAAACCCAUUCUAGGCGCCGAUGGGGAAUCCCUUGUUUCGAACAAGAGAACCUUCUCCUACGUGAAAAAGAGUCCGUCUGGGAUGGAAACAGCAUCCAAAGGGAGACAGCGUACCGGCUGGAUCAUGGUCGAGAUCUCGCUCGAGAAGCAGACCGGCGACGCCGACCACAUGGUGCUCUGCGUCUUGUACAAGUCGAAGAAGAAGUAUCCAGACACAUCCAUGGCAGCCGCUGCAGAGGCUGCACCGGGAUGCGAUGCGGAGCCGAGUGUACAUGAGUGGCUGGGCUUGUCCGACCGUGACAUACGUGCGGUGCCGAAGCCAGCUCCAUCCAUCGAUACGGCCGGUAGCACCAAAAUUCUCCUGCAGAAGGCCGCGGAGAAGGCAGUGAGCUACCACUUCGAAAAGGUGUGUGAAAUCAAGGAGUUCGUGGACUUCAAGGAGCGGCAUCUGAGGACAAUUGAUCAGCUUGGAUUGGACAGACCAAUUAUUUCAGGUUCAUUGCGUAAGUUGGAAUUGCGUCUUCAGCACGUUGCUAUGGACAAAAUUCUAACUCCUACAGAACGAGAUCACAUUGUUUCCUGUGGUGAAGACAUGUCUACAACAAUAUUUUCUGCAUAUUUAAAUAAACUCGGUAAAAGGGCACAACAGGAUUUCAGUGCACUAUAUAGGAUUGGGCUUAAUGUCCACGAUCAUGUCUGGGAAAGGGAAACCAAGGCGGCGAAUGAUUCCUCGGUGGUCCAUGACAGUGAGGCAAAACACCGUCUACAAGUCCUCCAUGCAGCGUUCCUUGAGGUUGGCUUCUUAUCCCAGGUCAAGGGAGCAGAGAGCGAGUGCCCAAUGCCAGUGAACUCGGCUUCCAGCUCUGGCGAGAAGAGAAAGGCGGAUGAGGUCCACCCAGAGGCUCCUUCUGCUGUGCGUCAGGAAAAGCCUGACACUGGCCGCAACAGUGUUGUGGAGGAAAGAGAGCGCACCGCGCUCUUUGAUGACAAGGCCGGGGACCCGCGCGAGUUCUUCGACACUAUACAAGAAGAUACCAUUGAGCCCGUCAGGACAGUAACUGAGGUUCAGCCCGAGCAGCCACCAGGUGUUGAGGAUGAGUACCCGGUGCCCCCCACUGGAGUCGACAACCCCUAUGGAAAUCAAGUUGGCGACUUCAACGCCGUAGUACCUGAAGUUCAACCGGGGCACCCUGAGGUGGGGGAGGGCAGCAAUGGAUUACCAAACUUUCUGGACCUGGACGAGACCGAGAGCAGUCGUCAUACAAUCAAGGAACCCAACCACGGUGCUUUGAAGCGCCUCGAGAACUGGAUGGACUCUGACAGCAACGACUAUCCGACGCGCUCCGACGACAGUGCUAUGCAGAAUCCGGUGUUCGUGGAAUACCAGACGCUCGUCGGACGUCCCAAUGGCGGAGAUUCGGUGGUCUCCGGACACCCGAUGUUCGUUGGAGGCAACAACGGCGGAUAUCCGCCGGCCGCGGAGAACCCCGGGCCCGGGUUCGUCGGAGGCGUCGUAGGCGACAACAGCGUAUAUUCUGUCGGGUCGGCUGCCAAAAUUCUUGAAGAAGCCUGCCCGAUGUUCGACGAAGACGGCCACAGGUAUUUAGAUGACAUCAACAUGGAGGAGCCUCUUAUCGACAUAGACUUUCCGCUGUCCCCGUUUGCCUCUUAA
rnacentral:rRNA from 1 species